rnacentral:lncRNA from 1 species
UGAAGAAAUUGUAUAAGGCAACUAUAUAGCUGUGAGUCUAGUAUUAAAGUUAUGGCUUCAUCAUUACUACUGGAGUAUUCUCGGGCAUGUUGUAAACUGCUGCAAAGUAGAUUGCACUGUUAGUGUGCACGCAUAGCUUCGUGUUGUCCCAUGAUAGUGCUUGUUAACGCUUGCACUGAGUUGUACUUGAUUGUACUUGUCUGAUUUUGAGGUCCAAAAUAAACUGUUCUUGU